GCCAGUAUGGCGGAUAUGACCUUCGGCUUGUAACCGAAGGGGUUCGGGUUCAAAUCCCGAGUUAGGCA